ACCUGACUGGCUCAGUCCAUAGAGCAUAUGACUCUUGAUCUCAGGGUUGUGAGUUCAAAUCCCAUAUUAGGUA
rnacentral:tRNA from 1 species